rnacentral:lncRNA from 1 species
CCACGAAGUUAGCGUGGUUUGCAGAGGGGAGGAGCCCAGCCUCUUGUGUUCCUGUGUGGUGGGGCAGGAGCAGGUUAACAGGCCUCCCUCUCACUCUGCUGAAAGUAUUUCUUUUUCCUUUUUCGCGCAAUAAAUUCCAUUUUUCUCACCCUUCUAUGCAUCCUCAAGCCUAAUCUUUCCUGGUUAUGUGACAAGAACCCGGUUUUUAGCUGAACUAAGGAGAAAGUCCUACAACACUGCCACCAUGUGGCAAUUACUCCAAAUAGAAGGAGAGGCUGAAGGACACACAACCAGGAUGCAGAGAAAAAGAUGGAGACAGAGUCUGUGCAAGAUGGGAUUGAUACUGAGACUGGGUUAGCCACCUCUCCUAGACAGUGAAACAGAUCGCAAGAGAGGCUGACCCAGAAAGACACAUGCAAAACAAUGGGCAAUAGAACACAUGACCUGAAUUAGAUUAUCUGGGUUCAAAUCCUGAUUUUGCUAUUCAUUAUCUGUGUAUCACUGGGCAAUUUACUCAAUCUCUCUGUGCCUGAAUAUCCUCAUUCAAAAUCAGGGAUGAAAAGAGUACUUAUCUCAAAGGGCUAUUUGCUCACUUAUUGCACAAGUAAUUUGGCAUCUGAUAUGAACCAGGUGCACCUCUAGAUGAGGAUACUGUCACAUUGAAUGAAGACCAGUGACCAGAAGCCUGCCUCACAGCCCAGCUCAGUGAGAAAAAUAAUUCCAUUCUCACCUCUAAUCUCAACCCUGUGUCACCAUUUAUGUAUAGUCCUUUGCAUUAGUGUCUGGAAAGGUCAUUUUUUGAGGGCAGAAUGAAUAACCUAUAGAAGGAUCAUUCUUGGGUAUAAUGAAUUAAAGAAGUAUUAUGAAGCUUUAUAAGGCAGGAUUAGCUCAUAAAAAUGGAGGGUUCUUUUGCUUUUCCAGUCCCAUUUGUUGUUUCACAGACAAAGAAUAAAACAAUCACUGAUGGCAAAGACUGCAAACUGCCAACGUUCAUCGGUAGAGCAAGGUGACGCUCGUCCUGUCCAGGCCUGUGGUUGGGAUAAGCUCAGAAAGCAGAGUCUCCAGGGCUGGUCAUCAUCUAUCAUAACCCUGCGUAUAAAGAAAGCCUUGAGAAAGAAAAGAAGUGACUUAUUAUGUGUCUUCUGACCUGGUUCUCAUUUUUAUUCAAAACAUUAGAACCUUGGGAAGAUGAAGAGAGGGCCAGAAAAAUGGGAAACCCUGGAUACAGAAACUUGGCUAGCUGUUUACUUUUUCACUGUACAUCUUUCUAUUGCAAUAGUUAAACCCCAAUUAAGACUGAAAUAACUCCUGAGGCAAACAAACGUAAUUGUGGAGACAGAGGGGAAAAUGUACUUCAGGGACUAGGAUCCUGCAGAGGGUUUCCGUCUUCCUGACAGAAAAACAACUUUGAAAAUUUGAGUCCUGGUAAUAGUUUGUUAACCAAGAACUCUACAAAUCCAGAAGGCACAAACAUGGCUUGGGGAGCCUUACCUUGCCAGAAGGACUAACCCAGAGCUUUACUACACCAUAGCUACCAAGCAACAGGCUUGUUCCUGAAGGUCUUUGGCUGAUUAACCAUUAACAUUUGAGGUCCUACAGUGAAAUGCUAUGCAGUUUGACUUUAUAUGGAGUACUUGGAAAACCCACUGAAAACUUUUAUGUUGUUUCUCUUUGCAAUCAACAGUGCAAGAGGGACCCAGUUACCCCACUGACACUUUGACGCAGGAUAGGUAUUCAAGGAGGUGACCAUGGUCUUGGGACACAACAACCGUGGUGACCAUACAGUCAACACAAUAAGCCUCAGCAUUCACACUGAAAUUGAGCUCAUUCAAAUGAACAGCUAUCAAGAGGAAAUUUCCCCUAGAGACAGCAUGCGCAUUUUGACUUUACCUGUCCUUAGACUGAGCCUUUGCUCAUUACAAUAGUAAAAAACACACCGCUGGCUGGAGAUUUAAGAUGCCAAUGAGACAUACCAUGUAUGAACAAGCAUGUACAGCUACUGCGCAUGUGCACUCAGAGGACCACCCAGAAGAUGAUUACCAGUAACAUUUCUCACCUCCUUCUAAAUAGUCACCUAAGACUCCCAUAAAGGGAGCCUCCCUAGCCCCAAUCUUUGCUGUUUCAUCCUUAGGAGCAGC